UACAGAGGGGGCAAGCGUUGUUCGGAAUUACUGGGCGUAAAGGGCGCGUAGGCGGCCUGCUAAGUCGAACGUGAAAUCCCCGAGCUCAACUCGGGAACUGCGUCCGAUACUGGCAGGCUUGAAUCCGGGAGAGGGAUGUGGAAUUCCAGGUGUAGCGGUGAAAUGCGUAGAUAUCUGGAGGAACACCGGUGGCGAAGGCGACAUCCUGGACCGGUAUUGACGCUGAGGCGCGAAAGCCAGGGGAGCAAACGGG
rnacentral:rRNA from 1 species